GUGGUCUGGGGAAAGGCUCCUGUGUUGCUGAACCUGCCCAGCGGCGGGCGCAGCCUCGUACCAGGCAGCCCCACCCUGACCUAAAGUAAAUUCCCGGGGGCAGGUCCUCCGGAGCUUGGAUUUGCAGUAACAGGUGUGGACAUUCUAGCAGCAGUUUGAUGAUCAUGUAUGAUACUGCAAACAAGA